CAGCCGCCGCGGUAAAACAGAGGGUGCGAGCGUUAAUCGGAAUUACUGGGCGUAAAGCGUGCGCAGGCGGUUAUAUAAGACAGAUGUGAAAUCCCCGGGCUCAACCUGGGAACUGCAUUUGUGACUGUAUAGCUAGAGUACGGCAGAGGGGGAUGGAAUUCCGCGUGUAGCAGUGAAAUGCGUAGAUAUGCGGAGGAACACCGAUGGCGAAGGCAAUCCCCUGGGCCUGUACUGACGCUCAUGCACGAAAGCGUGGGGAGCAAACAGGAUUAGAUACCCCCGUAGUCCCUGUCUCUUAUAC
rnacentral:rRNA from 1 species